UACGUGGCAAAUGAACGCCCUCCUUUCAGAGCUCCACCGAAGCUUUAUGCUCAUAAGCUCAGGGAGUUGAUUGAAGACUGCUGGAAAGACAACCCAUCGGAAAGACCAACUUUUAGGCAAAUAAUUUCCGAGUUGGAGGGUAUUGAUAGCCAUCUCAUUCGUGGAAAGCGUUGGAAGGUGAAGGCGCUCAAGUGCUUCCAAAACCUUGAAGCCAUCCUUAAAUUGGAUCAUUCUAAUUCAAAAAACCGGUCCUCCCGUUCAAAUCUCUCCUCCAUUGGGUGACGCACACAAGCCAAUUGUUCCCACCAUCUGUGCGCUUAUAUAGCCUUCAAUCUUUGACGUCUAAAUUCUCUCGUUCAAGUAACAAGAAUUUACUUGUGAUUUUGCCCUUUUGUGAUUUUGCCUUUAUAUUGUUUCGGACUACCAUUUGUACAAAUAGUACAUGCUUACUGACUAUGUACAGCCAUAUUGAACGACUUUGGACCAUAGUUCUUGCCGCAGCCAUCAACAUAGAAGCUUUUGCCUUGCUUAA